rnacentral:piRNA from 1 species
UGCCAUGUGGGUUCUGAGAAUUGAACCUGGU